CGUGGAAAUGAUUGAGGGCCCAUCACCUCACGGACCAACCAUGGAACUCCGCUCCACCCGCGCCUCCGCCGCUCCGUCCUCCGGGGGCCAGAGAUGCUGCCUGGCUCUCCAGUGUCCCGUGUCCACUCUGAUGCGCGGUGCGGCGCUCCACACCCACCCAGCGAUCUCCACAGGGCGGCCGCGCGGCGUGGAUCUCCUUCAGUCGCUCAAGGAUGAGGUACCUCAAACCGCAGUGAAUGUGGUCUUGGAAGAGCUUAUCCCUAGAUCGUGAAGCGGCAAUCUGUCCCGCGAAAAAAAGAAGAUCGACGCUUUCCAAAAGAUGUUACCUAUGCUAUGUCGUGGCUUCCAUCCAAGUUUAUGUGUGUACAAAUAUCACCUUUGAGAUUUGGUGUAAAAGACACAGCUGGCGAUAGUAGACCAGUAUACACAAUAGUAAUAGCAUAGUUAUGGCUGUUAUGCUGUAUCCUGCUACCUGACAGUGGUGUGCUAUGCAAUGGUGAUAAUAAAUCUGUUUUUCCUUCCUUGUGUGUA